CUUAACUUACUCCCUCUACUGUGAUAAUACUUCUAGGAGCUGUACAGUCCACUGCACCCAGCUGUUGGUUGUAAAUAGUUGCAGCACGUAAUUCACGCCUCCACUCCAUGCUGGUUACCAGGGAGAUCAAGGUGAUCAUGAUUGAGUGUGCAGACCUGAAGAAUGUCAUCAACUACCAAGAGGUGGAAGCACUUAAACACACGAUCAAGGUUUUAUCCAUCAUCAAGUGGAGGGGUCCUAAGAGCAAUGAGCUGUCAUCUAAGUUUUGGAAAUAGGUGUUAUUUUA